UGCGCCCUCCCACUAGCAUCACCAGUAAGG
rnacentral:piRNA from 1 species